rnacentral:tRNA from 1 species
GGGUCCCUAGCUCAGCGGUUAGAGCAGUCGACUCAUAAUCGAUUGGUCCAGGGUUCGAAUCCCUGGGGACCCACCA